rnacentral:rRNA from 1 species
GAUGAACGCUGGCGGCGUGCCUAAUACAUGCAAGUCGAGCGAACGGACGAGAAGCUUGCUUCUCUGAUGUUAGCGGCGGACGGGUGAGUAACACGUGGAUAACCUACCUAUAAGACUGGGAUAACUUCGGGAAACCGGAGCUAAUACCGGAUAAUAUUUUGAACCGCAUGGUUCAAAAGUGAAAGACGGUCUUGCUGUCACUUAUAGAUGGAUCCCGGCUGCAUUAGCUAGUUGGUAAGGUAACGGCUUACCAAGGCAACGAGGCAUAGCCGACCUGAGAGGGUGAUCGGCCACACUGGAACGGAGACACGGUCCAGACUCCUACGGGAGGCAGCAGUAGGGAAUCUUCCGCAAUGGGCGAAAGCCUGACGGAGCAACGCCGCGUGAGUGAUGAAGGUCUUCGGAUCGUAAAACUCUGUUAUUAGGGAAGAACAUAUGUGUAAGGAACUGUGCACAUCUUGACGGUACCUAAUCAGAAAGCCACGGCUAACUACGUG